UACAGAGGUCUCAAGCGUUGUUCGGAUUCAUUGGGCGUAAAGGGUGCGUAGGUGGCGCUGUAAGUCAGGUGUGAAAAUUUCGGAGCUUAACUCCGAAACUGCAUUUGAUACUGCGGUGCUCGAGGACUGGAGAGGAGACUGGAAUUUACGGUGUAGCAGUGAAAAUGCGUAGAGAUCGUAAGGAAGACCAGUGGCGAAGGCGGGGUCUCUGGACAGUUUCCUGACA
rnacentral:rRNA from 1 species